ACGCUGGCGGCACGCCUAACACAUGCAUGUCGAACGAAGUAGCAAUACUUAGUGGCAGACGGGUGAGUAACAUGUAGGUAUCUGCCCUUUGGCCUGGAAUAACACGAGGAAACUUGUGCUAAUACCGGAUAAGUCUUUACGGAGAAAGCUUUAUGCACCAUUGGAUGAGCCUGCACUUGAUUAGUUUGUUGGUAGGGUAAUGGCCUACCAAGACUGUGAUCAAUAGCUGAUUUGAGAGGAUGAUCAGCCACAUUGGGACUGAGACACGGCCCAAACUCCUACGGGAGGCAGCAGUGGGGAAUCUUGCACAAUGGAGGAAACUCUGAUGCAGCGAUGCCGCGUGAGUGAAGAAGGCCUUUGGGUUGUAAAGCUCUUUCGUCGGGGAAGAAAAUGACUGUACCCGAAUAAGAAGGUCCGGCUAACUUCGUGCCAGCAGCCGCGGUAAUACGAAGGGACCUAGCGUAGUUCGGAAUUACUGGGCUUAAAGAGUUCGUAGGUGGUUGAAAAAGUUAGUGGUGAAAUCCCAGAGCUUAACUCUGGAACUGCCAUUAAAACUUUUCAGCUAGAGUAUGAUAGAGGAAAGCAGAAUUUCUAGUGUAGAGGUGAAAUUCGUAGAUAUUAGAAAGAAUACCGAUUGCGAAGGCAGCUUUCUGGAUCAUUACUGACACUGAGGAACGAAAGCAUGGGUAGCGAAGAGGAUUAGAUACCCUCGUAGUCCAUGCCGUAAACGAUGUGUGUUAGACGUUGGAAAUUUAUUUUCAGUGUCGCAGGGAAACCGAUAAACACACCGCCUGGGGAGUACGACCGCAAGGUUAAAACUCAAAUGAAUUGACGGGGACCCGCACAAGUAGUGGAGCAUGUGGUUUAAUUCGAAGAUACGCGCAGAACCUUACCAACACUUGACAUGUUCGUCGCGACUCUAAGAGAUUAGAGUUUUCGGUUCGGCCGGACGAAACACAGGUGCUGCAUGGCUGUCGUCAGCUCGUGUCGUGAGAUGUUGGGUUAAGUCCCGCAACGAGCGCAACCCUCACUUUUAGUUGCCAUCAUUAAGUUGGGCACUCUGAAAGAACUGCCAGUGAUAAGCUGGAGGAAGGUGGGGAUGACGUCAAGUCCUCAUGGCCCUUACGUGUUGGGCUACACACGUGCUACAAUGGUAUCUACAACAGGAAGCAAGACUGCGAAGUUAAGCAAAUCCCUAAAAGAUACCUCAGUUCGGAUUGCACUCUGCAACUCGAGUGCAUGAAGCUGGAAUUACUAGUAAUCGUGGAUCAGCGUGCCACGGUGAAUGCGUUCCCGGGUCUUGUACUCACCGCC
rnacentral:rRNA from 1 species